rnacentral:rRNA from 1 species
UACGUAGGGUCCGAGCGUUAUCCGGAUUUAUUGGGCGUAAAGCGCAUGUAGGUGGGUUAGUAAGUCUUGUUUUAAAGCUCUGGGCUUAACUCAGAAUCUGGACGAGAUACUACUAGUCUAGUGGUCAGCAGGGGCAAACGGAAUUCCCGGUGUAGGAGUGAAAUCCGUUGAUAUCGGGAGGAACACCAAUGGCGAAGGCAGUUUGCUAGGCUGAUUCAGACACUGAGAUGCGAAAGCGUGGGGAGCGAACGGG